CCUACGGGAGACAGCAGUGAGGAAUAUUGGUCAAUGGGCGGAAGCCUGAACCAGCCAAGUAGCGUGAGGGAUGAAGGCGCUACGGAUUGUAAACUGCUUUUGCACGGGGAUAACACCCGCCACUAGUGGAGGACUGCGGGUACCGUAAGAAUAAGCGUCGGCUAACUCCGUGCCAGCAGCCGCGGUAAUACGGAGGACCCGAGCGUUAUCCGGAUUCAUGGGGCUUAAAGGGAGCGUAGGCGGGCGUUCAAGUCAGCUGUAAAAUCGCGCGGCUCAACCGCGCCCUGCAAUUGAAACUGGUAGACUUGAGUACACGACAGGCAGGCGGAAUUCGUGGUGUAGCGGUGAAAUGCAUAGAUAUCACGAGGAACCCCGAUUGCGAAGGCAGCUUACUAGACUGUGACUGACGCUGAUGCUCGAAAGUGUGGGUAUCAAACAGGAUUAGAUACCCCAGUAGUC
rnacentral:rRNA from 1 species